rnacentral:misc_RNA from 1 species
UCCGGUUUGUCACCGGCAGUCUCAUUAGAGUGCCCAACUGAAUGGUGGCAACUAAGGACGAGGAUUGCGCUCGUUGCGGGACUUAACCCAACACCUCACGGCACGAGCUGACGACAGCCAUGCACCACCUGUGCAGGCUCCGUAGAGCACCCGCUUUCACGGGUUUCACCCUGCAUGUCAAGCCCAGGUAAGGUUCUUCGCGUCGCAUCGAAUUAAGCCGCAUGCUCCGCCGCUUGUGCGGGCCCCCGUCAAUUCCUUUGAGUUUCAACCUUGCGGUCGUACUCCCCAGGCGGGGCACUUAAUGCGUUAGCUACGGCACAGAUCACGUUGGUUGUGACCCACACCUAGUGCCCAACGUUUACGGCGUGGACUAC